AGCUAGAGGCAGCAUUGUCCCAUAUUUCAAACCACUCCUAAGAAUCCAAAUUAAUUAGCAUGCCAACUCAUGGGGAUGAGCUGGACGUCUUUUUCAGAUGCGUGGAACGCCAUGUUUGAAUGAGGCUAGCUGUAUCCAAACACUUGACUUUGCUGCAGACAAAUACUCUACUCAAGUUUCUUUCCAUAGAGACAGGGAUCUAAUGGAAAUCUACUCAUCAGACGAAGGUGAAUGGAAAGCAGUGAAAUAAUACCAGAUGAAUUCAACGCGUUUCCAUCCACGGCGGCAGCGGCGGGGAUGGGAGAGGAUUCAGAAGGUGACAGCAGAUAAGUGCAUGCAAACCACAUCUCUCUGUUGAUCGUGGUUACUCCCUGAUUAUUUUGUAUGCCAAUUAAAGAUUAAUCAGUCACCCCAGAAGCCCACCCAAAGUUUUGUGCCUCGUCAUGCAAAGAGCAACAUGGAUAACAAAAGCGUGACCCAGCCACCCACGGCUCUGUACCAGCAACGGAACAGCCUAAUUUGUACUUUGAUUUCUUUCUUUCUUUCUUUUUUUUUCUUCCUCUUUUGAUAUGAAGUUGUUUGUGUAUUUAUACCAUUCUUUCUGCCAAAUAGGAUUCUCUUGACUCCAGGACAUUUUCUUUGAUAAGAGUUUAGUAUUAAACACAGAAAACAAACAGCAUUAAUAUAUUUUAAAUUAAAUUGAGUUAUUAGCAAUGUCUUUUGUUCGUGUUAAAGUAAAUGCCAGAAGUAUCGGAAUAAAUGCCAGAAGUAUCGGAAA